rnacentral:rRNA from 1 species
UCCCAGCAGUCCAAGUCGCAACCACAUUUGUUGGGUCUAAAACAUCCGUAGCUUGCUAAGUAAGUCUCUUGUGAAAUCCCGCCUCUUAAGGGUGGACGUGCAAGAGAUACUACUUAGCUAGAGACCGGGAGGCGUAAUGAGUACGUAUGGGGGAGCGGUAAAAUGUGUUGAUCCUGUACGGACUAACAGUCGCGAAGGCGCGUUACGAGCACGGAUCUGACAGUGAGGGAUGAAGGCUAGGGGCGCAAAGUGG